rnacentral:rRNA from 1 species
UACAGAGGUCCCAAGCGUUGUUCGGAUUCACUGGGCGUAAAGGGUGCGUAGGCGGCGGGGCAAGUCUGAUGUGAAAUCCCGGGGCUCAACCCCGGAACUGCAUUGGAUACUGCCUUGCUAGAGUACUGGAGAGGGAACUGGAAUUUACGGUGUAGCAGUGAAAUGCGUAGAGAUCGUAAGGAAGGCCAGUGGCGAAGGCGAGUUCCUGGACAGUGACUGACGCUGAGGCACGAAGGCCAGGGGAGCAAACGGG